GGAGGAAGGUGGGGAUGACGUCAAAUCAUCAUGCCCCUUAUGUCUUGGGCUUCACGCAUGCUACAAUGGCCGGUACAAAGGGCUGCGAAACCGCGAGGUGGAGCGAAUCCCAAAAAGCCGGUCUCAGUUCGGAUUGGGGUCUGCAACUCGACCCCAUGAAGUCGGAGUCGCUAGUAAUCGCAGAUCAGCAACGCUGCGGUGAAUACGUUCCCGGGCCUUGUACACACCG
rnacentral:rRNA from 1 species